UUCUUUCUUCUACUUCGUCUUUACUUCUCUGCUCUUCCUCUGCCGACGUUGAGAGAUGAGAGUUGAGAUUCGAUUUGAAAGAAUCAACUGAUAUGGGUAUGCAGAUGUUGAAGGUGAUGGUGCUGAUGUGAAUUAGGUAGAGAACAAUUAGGAAUCGAAGAUAUAAAUCAAAGGAAACCAAGUUAGUGUUUGUGGAUUGAGUUUUGGAUUCGUGUGGAAUUAAUUUGUUGACCGAGUUGUUGGUAGAUGAAAACAAAGAGGGUUAUCAUUUGUUUGCUGAGAUGAAGUAGUUUUGAAGAUGAAUUAAGAGUUAGGGUUUCUGAGAAAUUAAUUGGAGAUCGAUUAGGUGGUGAUUAAUAGAAGAAUUGAAGGUUGGGUUUGCAUUGAUUGAAGACCUGGAUUGAUAUUUUGAUCUCAGGUGAAGUAGAAGCUCAUGCAACCGUAAUUAGAAUUAGGGUUUUGUCUUGUAUUUGAGAUUAAGAAGUUAAUUAGGGAAUUAAGGUUUGAUUGAACUGUAAAUCUAAGGAGUAAAUAGAAUUAUUGGAUGGGUUUAGUCGAUUUGAGAACUUGAAUUAAUGAUUGAACAGAUUCAAAGAUUUGGGGAUUAUUUAGGGGCUUCACAGUUGAUGUUCUUGGAAUUGUUCAGAGGAGGUAAGAAGAGGCAAUAUCAGUUAUGAUUCUCAAAUGAAGACCUAGGGUUCAUGGAUUGAAAUUACAAGUGAGGAAGGUUCUAAGAUUUGUAUGAGGUAAAUCUUCUCAACCAAUUUAAGUACUUGUUAUGUUGUUUAAAAUUUAGAAUUAGUAUAACUAAAUUGAGAUAAUUGAUCUAAGGUGUGAGUUGGUUAUGGAAAGAAGGUUAGAUGUUUUUUUAAAUUACAGGGUCUCUAUGAAUUUAAUUGGGAAUGGAAAUUAUGAAUAAGGAUGUCGGGGUAAGUGAAUUGUAUUGGAUUUGAGAUGUUAUUAUUGUUGUCGAGGCUGGUGGUGGUAUUGAUUUGAUAUUAGGUUCAUAUAUGGAAUUGCAGUUCAAACAUGAAACUAGUGGUGAUAGUAAAUUGAGAAUGAAUGUACAGAUAUGGAGUUGGUGUUGUUAUUAUUUGUUAGAGUUUAGAUGUUGUUGUUGUGACAGUAAAGUCACAAUUGCCGUGACUCUGAGAGGUUGAACAGAAUGGGUCGUGGUGGUUCUGGUAUUAUGGGUUAUUGGAGGUGGUUUGUUGAACUGAGAUUACAGUUGUGGUUCAGGUUGGAUUGCAGUGUUGUUUGGAUUGAAGUUUAGAGAGUUUAGAAUUAGAAUAGGUAUGAACUAGUAUAACAAGAAUGAAAUGAAGUAGGGUUGCAGAGUGUGUAGCUGUCGAGUGAUUGGUUGAGAUGAAUGUAGAAAGAAUGUUGCAGCUACUUCUUUUGCAGUUAGUCUGUAUUAACAACGAUCGAUUCAAAGGAUGAACCAGUGGAUCGUGGAUCUCGAGGUAGGCAUGGCUUUUCAUCAAAAGAGUUUCAGAGACAGAUCAGAGUUGCACAACGAAAGCUUCGAGGAUUUGACUCAGUUAAUUAGUUAACUUCUGCUAUGUUUAAUAUGUUGUAUAUUUUGUUUUGUAAAUCAAAUGACUAUUGUAUAUGUAUCAUUUGAGAUGAGUUGUUGUAUAUACAUUUCUUAGCGGGGCUAGUUUUGGGUUAAGUUUUGUAGCAGAUUUCUAAACUGAAGGUUUAUGUAAAGGAUUUAGAUUCUUAGUGCCUCUUUAUUUGGUUAUCAGAA